GGGUUAAGCUUGGUGCUUCCUCUUUGUUUUUUUUGUUUCUUUGUUGUUGAAGAGUAAUGGAUAGUUUUUGAAUACUGAGAAGUGAGUCUGUGGAAUAAAUUAGAGAUUGAUUUAUGAAUUAUUAGUUAUGUAAUUGGAGUAUUAUGUGAUUAAAUUAUAUGAGAAGUUAUUGGAAAAUUGAUUAUGGAUGGAAGAUUAUGAUUGUUGUUUAUUGAGAGUUGUGUGUGUUUCGACAAAAGAAGUCUGUGAUUACAAAAAAUUUGUGAAUUCAGAUUGAUUGGAGUGAAGUCUGUUAUUCCUGGUGUUGGUUGGAAUUUAUUGAGUUUUUAGCGGUCUUUUGAGAGUGCAGGGUUGCAUAGUGUGGUUAUCAAUUGAUGAAGAAGUAUUGUUACUGGGAGGAAGCAUUGUAGUAUUUCUUAGUGUUUUAGUGGUUCGGAAUACAGUUAAUUGUAUGACCCUAAUAAGUAAAGCUCAUGCACUUAGUCUUUUCCUACGUUCGAAUUUUCUUAUACAGGUUUAUUUUGAAAAGAAUUAUAGAAUAAGUAAAAUGACAAUCACAUUUUGGCUCCGCUGUCGGGGAUAGACAAUAGCAUUGAGUAUUAGGAAUUAUUUAUCGGUUUAAUUGGAUGAAAGAUAGGAAGCAAAUUCAGUAGAAUAUAAUGAAAGAGUAUGGUUAUUAAGAAUGAGAACAUUAUAGUAAAGAAAACAUGUCAGUCGAAAGAAAGAUAAGAGAGAGCGCAAGCAAGAGAAUCGUUGUAAAAUGAGCAAGAACGCAAGUUAAAAAUGAAGCUUUGAUAAAGUUGGAUUAAGCCAUGGUUGCAUGCCUGUUG
rnacentral:lncRNA from 1 species